rnacentral:ncRNA from 1 species
CAGGUUCUGAACAGAAUAAUAGGGAACGCUGUGAGAAUCAGCGGCUAUGCCCGUAGCUGUAAGCUCCAGUUUGCGCCUCCUCCAGAAUGUCACUGACUUUUUUCGGAGUCGGGAAGGCGGAAGAGGCGGGAGCGAGCCAGAAGACCUGCCUGGAUCC